rnacentral:rRNA from 1 species
UGGGGAAUUUUGCGCAAUGGGCGAAAGCCUGACGCAGCAACGCCGCGUGUGUGAUGAAGGUCUUCGGAUUGUAAAGCACUUUCGACCGGGACGAAAACCCGCUGGCCAAUAUCCAGCGGCUUGACGGUACCGGGAGAAGAAGCACCGGCUAACUCUGUGCCAGCAGCCGCGGUAAUACAGAGGGUGCAAGCGUUGUUCGGAAUUAUUGGGCGUAAAGCGCGUGUAGGCGGCUUUGCAAGUCGGGUGUGAAAGCCCUCAGCUCAACUGAGGAAGUGCGCCCGAAACUGCAGAGCUUGAGUACCGGAGAGGAUGGCGGAAUUCCCCAAGUAGAGGUGAAAUUCGUAGAUAUGGGGAGGAACACCGGUGGCGAAGGCGGCCAUCUGGACGGAUACUGACGCUGAGACGCGAAAGCGUGGGGAGCAAAC